AACGAACGCUGGCGGCAUGCCUAACACAUGCAAGUCGAACGAGACCUUCGGGUCUAGUGGCGCACGGGUGCGUAACGCGUGGGAACCUGCCCUUAGGUUCGGAAUAACUCCCCGAAAGGGGUGCUAAUACCGGAUAAUGUCUUCGGACCAAAGAUUUAUCGCCUUUGGAUGGGCCCGCGUUGGAUUAGCUAGUUGGUAGGGUAAAAGCCUACCAAGGCGACGAUCCAUAGCUGGUCUGAGAGGAUGAUCAGCCACAUUGGGACUGAGACACGGCCCAGACUCCUACGGGAGGCAGCAGUGGGGAAUAUUGGACAAUGGGCGAAAGCCUGAUACAGCAAUGCCGCGUGAGUGAUGAAGGCCUUAGGGUUGUAAAGCUCUUUUACCCGGGAUGAUAAUGACAGUACCGGGAGAAUAAGCUCCGGCUAACUCCGUG
rnacentral:rRNA from 1 species